UACAGAGGUCUCAAGCGUUGUUCGGAUUCAUUGGGCGUAAAGGGUGUGUAGGUGGCGCCGUAAGUCGGGUGUGAAAUUUCGGAGCUUAACUCCGAAACUGCAUUCGAUACUGCGAUGCUUGAGGACUGGAGAGGAGACUGGAAUUCAUGGUGUAGCAGUGAAAUGCGUAGAGAUCAUGAGGAAGACCAGUGGCGAAGGCGGGUCUCUGGACAGUUCCUGACACUGAGACACGAAGGCCAGGGGAGCAAACGGG
rnacentral:rRNA from 1 species